rnacentral:rRNA from 1 species
AAGUUUGAUCAUGGCUCAGGACGAACGCUGCGGUGUGCUUCACACAUGCAAGUCGAACGAGGUAGCAAUACCUAGUGGCGGACGGGUGAGUAACGCGUGGGAAUCUGCCUUGAGAUGGGGAUAACGAGCCGAAAGGCUCGCUAAUACCGCAUAUGCCGAAAGGUGAAAGGAGUAAUCCGUCUUAAGAUGAGCCCGCGUCCGAUUAGCUAGUUGGUGGGGUAAAGGCCUACCAAGGCGACGAUCGGUAGCUGGUCUGAGAGGAUGAUCAGCCACAAUGGGACUGAGACACGGCCCAUACUCCUACGGGAGGCAGCAGUGGGGAAUUUUACGCAAUGGGGAAACCCUGACGUAGCGACACCGCGUGAGCGAAGAAGCCCUUUGGGGUGUAAAGCUCUGUCAGCUGGAACGAAAAAAUGACGGUACCAGCAGAGGAAGCAUCGGCUAACUACGUG